UAAGUAUAUUUGGGGUCACCCUUACAAGCACUCCUAAAGAUGCCCUAUUCCAAUUCUGCAAAAAGAAGUUAACUGUCUCCAGAACCUGCAUGGAAGAAGGCUGUGUAUGAUGGCAUUAUGUGCCCCUCCCCCACAAAUAUGCUCCCAAAAUAAAUACCAUGUAACUUUAAAACUUUUAAAUUAAAAACCACUUGGUUAUGCUUGUCUGAGGGUAGCUUUUGGUUUUCUAUUAUGCUUAGAUAUUUAUUAUUUUGCCCAUAUCACAGUUUUGAUAUGAACAAAUACU
rnacentral:lncRNA from 1 species